UGGUGCACAGAAUUAUUGGUGCCAUUCCAGCCUGGUUAUAUAUUUCUUGUAUAUGGAGGCAUUGGUUGGAUGAGCUCUAUAAUUGAAAUAUUUUAUCGAUUAUCAAUGGUUUCUUAUAUUUGUUAAGAUACUUUUGCACACAUUUGCAUAUAAUACUUGAUAUUUGACAUUGAGUUGUUUAUUUUAGUUUAUAUAUUUUUUCCAAGUGAUCUUGGUACACGCUGUGGAUUGGACAGUUUAUCUAAGCUAUUUUAGUUGUAUAUUUGUAAUAAAAGCGACCAUAAAUAAUGGUUGUUUAGUAUUUUUCAUUAGAUUAAUAUUUUGCUGAAUCCAGAUUUUCCAAUUGCUGUUUGAUAUCUUCAUUGUUUGUCCUUUUAUGUAAUCUAUGUUCUUCUCUUGAUACUUUUAUUUGUAUACAUGUGAAAAGAUACAUUUCUUUGUUGCGAGAUUGAUUCCAGUUUUUCGUAAUCGUUUUGACUUGAAGUAAAUAUUUCUGUGAAUUCCUAGUGGUAUUUAAUGUGGAAUUCUUUUUUUAACAUAUUAUUUAACAUCUUUAAAAAUGUAAUAUGUUCUUUAAUUUGUCAUGCUCAAUUAAUAGAAGUGGUUUUUUUACAUUAAUUAUUUUUUUAUUUUUUAUACUGUCAUCCAAAUCAUCAUUGUCGGUUUUAUACGACUCGACAUUUGAAUCACGAUCGUAUUUGCAUGCCAGUGCUUAGUAUCUGUUUUUGAAUAUAAAAAGAUCUUAUCUCCUUAUUUUGUAUAAAUUGUUUUUUCUUUUCCAUUUUAUCUUCCAUGUUCAUCGAUUUUCUUUUCCAAAAUGUUAUGGCAUUUUCGUCAAAAUCUAUUGUUAGCUUUAUUUUUAUGCAUAAACUAUUCUUGAGAAAAUAUCAUUUUUUGACAUGAUUUAAUUUAAAAAAAUAUUAAUAUUAUUUGAUAAAGGAAUAUACUAAUAUAUUUAUAUACUUUAGUAAAAUAAAUAAUUAAUAAUAAUCAAUAUAAGAGGUGGAAAGAAAUAAAGAAUUAACCAUAUGGAAGGUUUUCUAGAGACAAAAGCAAGGAAGAAAACGAAUGAGAAAGAUAGUAAAAAGAAGAAAGGAUUAUCAAGUACAUAUCAAAGUGCUUUGACAACUAUGCUUUGACAAAAUAUUUUUGAUUGCAUUGCAAGUUUAGUUUAUCAUUAGUCAUAUGACUUUUAGCUGCCAUACUCUGCAAUUCAAUUCCAUAAGUCCAGAUGAGUUUAACUACUGUUUUAUAUAUCAGAAAUUUGUUAUCUAUAUUUAACUUUGAGUUUUAUUUUACUUUGUAUAUGGUAGUUUCAUGUUACGUGUUACUAAAUACAUAUCCAAGUAUUUUAUUAUUUCCAUUUGAGGUGCCAUAGUUUAAUGUUAUAGCUGAAACAGUACUUUUCUUUAAGGUGAACGUUAUAUGCUUACAUUUAUCAGUAUUAACUUUUAUUCUCCAUUAAUUUAGCCCUGAGUAAGAAUAUACUGUUGAAAUAUAGAUGAUGCAGUUUUAGGGUUUUCAUGCGUGGACAAAAUGACUAUCAUUAACAAAUAUGUACAGUGUAAUUUGACGUGUAGUAGGAAUGUCAAUCGUAUAAGGAAUAUAAAGAAUAAAAUGCCUUUGGAACUUCUGUUUCAAUAUUAUUUAUGUUCGAUAUUGAACUUUCUUUGAAAAGAACAUUCUUUGUAAAGAUUUAAAGAAUGUUCUUUCUAGAUAUGAUUUAAUGAGUUUGUAGUAUGAUGAAGGAAAGUUCUGCUUUAUUUUUGUUAAGAGAUUGACGUGCCAGAUUGAUGUGCCUAUGUCUAAAAAAUGAAGAGUGCAAUAUUUCUUUUCCUUGAAAGCUUUUCAGAUAUACGUUUCAAACCGCAAUAGCGAUGGUAGUCGAUUUGCACGGAGAAUCUUCAUCCGUUUCUUCCUAAUCAUCAGAAUUAUAGACCCACUGGUUUCGAAGAAUAAGGGCGGCGGAACAAGUCUAGUAUACCAAUGAAGGCCGUCAGUAAAAUAUUGCUCGCCACGUUUCCGCAAAUUAAUGGAAGAAGGCGAAUUUUUUUGAAGGAUUCCGUGAAGUUUGUGAGAUUGUGCUGGAUACCUCUAUUUGAGGCAUAGUCAGUGAUAUUGUUAAGACUUGGUUGUCUUACUGAUGAGUCUGAAUGCUUAGAUGCGACUGACUAGAUUUUUUUCAAACUAUCAACGAAAAUAUUAAUGUAUUAAGAAAGUGAAAUGAAAAGAGAGGAAUUUAAGUAAAAAGUAUCUCGAACAGAAAAGCAAUAUUCUUAUUGGUAUACUGUGCAUAGUCCGUUCGAAAUGUUUGACCAAUCUCAUACGUCGUCCUUUGUCCUGAAGACCGUGUGGACCCAUGAGUAUUGCAUUGAUAUUUGAAGGGUAGGAGCUAGACAAAUUCUUGAGAAUCAACGUACGAAUACCAAUUAGCUUUUAUAAAACGAUUUAUCGCCACUGUUCAACUAUUUACUUAUUUUUAUAUCUCUAUUAUUCUGAGAAAAGAGAGAGUGUGAGGGAGGGGGAGAGAAAGAGAGAUUAGGCGUGUCUUUUCUAAUCUCUUUUCGCAAGUUCGACGUUCGAUCAUUAACGCGUAUUUUUAUGAAUGACGAACUUAGAAGAUUAAACGGCGAUUAUUAAUAAAUAUGGAUGCAAAAUUUUGUGUGUAUUUAAAUAUAUACACACAUACACAUAUAUGUACAUAUAUGUAUAUACAUACAUAUAUAAGUCGCAGUAAAAAAAUGAUACUCGAUUUUUCGAUCCUUAACUAAAGAAUAUAGAACGUUUAGAUCUUAGUCAGUUAAAGAAAAAAAAGAAAUAACUAAGAAACAACUAAUAAUAGGAUCGACAAAAAUUAGAAGGGCUUUGAAGUAUAUACUAUAUGUUUAUUUUUCUAAUUCUAUUAUAAAAAAAAAGUUAUGAAGAAAAAAAAAACGCACACGUAUACAGAUAUACGAAGCCACAUAAAAAAAAUUUUUUAAAAAUCUCUCUUUCGUAUUGUUUCCAAAUUUUUGAAAAAGCUUUAUCCCUUUGCACUCGGUUGACCCUUCUUGUGGGACAUCGUAAUUCUAGCAUAUCACUCGGAUGUCCCCUCUUAUGGGACAUUAAAUUUGAUUAGUGAUUAUAGCUAAUUGAGUUAUUUCAGCGCAACUUUUUGAGACAUGCAUGCUUCCCUGAAGUUUUCUUUUGAAAUGGCACAAGAAAUCAAAUCAAAAUAUAGUAAAACUACUAAGAUAUACAAAAAGAAAUAUCAGCGAGUUUUGUCGUACGAAAACGCUAUAAAAUUGCUCAUGACGAUCCGACCACUUCAAAGGCGUUACUUGAAAAGAGCGAUAUGGCAAGAUUUAGAAGAAAGGUCGAUAAGCAAACAUAGCAUGUACUGUAUAAUGAGAUUUAUAAUCAUUGACCAGUUGAGACGUGAUUUUCGUGAAUCGAGAACGCGUCCAUUCACAUCUUCUGCGGACAAUAGAUUAGACAAUAAACUACAUAUUCCUGAUGUGUGACAAAGAAAACGAAAUUGUAUUGUUUGUUCUGAUAGGAAAACACCUGGUGGCAGGCGUCUAAUAACAUAUUAUUGUCAAACGUACACUAAUCAGCCUGCAAUGCAUUUUGGAGAGUGUUUUAGAGUUUAUCACUCUAUACAAAAUUAUAAAAAAUAAAACAUUGAUUUUUUUGCAAAUAUACAUUUCUCGAUUUCAACCAAUUCAUAUAAGUCCAAUAUCAUUAUAAUAUGUUAGUUAGUUCCAAAAUUAUACUAAAUAAUACGAGGGUCUGUAAAUGCACGUUUCUGCCACAAAGUAGCAUCGAGUAGCUGGUAGCCAACGUCCAGAAUGGUUCCGAGUGCAAAGGGUUAUUUAUUUUGAAAAAAAAUCUUGUUAAAAAAUUUUUAUUUUUAUUUGUAUUUUCCGAAAAAUUCGAAAACAAUACGCGAUAAAUUAAAUCUUCGUUUUUAAAACGAGACCUUGUUCAUUAAAAUUGGACAAAAAUUGUGCUUGUGCUUAUUGAUGGUGUAAAUCAUUAUAAAAUCGAGGGUAAUAAAUAGUUUUAAUUUCAAUUUAAAAUCAGUUUAAACUAACCUUUAAAAUGUAUAGUUUUGUACUUUUUCCUCAUGCUUUUAAAUUUGACAAAGCCGUACUUUGGUCAAUAUUUUACUGUUUUGUAUUUUAGAUCACUAUUCAACAUUAGUUUUUCCUGUAAAUGAUUAUACUCAAGAAUUCCUUUGAUCAAGAUUGAAAUCAGAUAUAUUACUUUGAUCGUCUGUUUCACAUCUUUCCGUAUCAUGUUCACAAGUAUAAUCAUUUACGUGAUCAAUAAUCCAAUAUCAUUGAUUACUAUGUUUUUCAAGAGAAGGAAUACGAUUAUGAUCGAGUUAUAAACCAAAGAGACUAAUUUGAUGUAAAUGUUGAAAGCACAUGAAACACAGCAAUGAAAAUGGAGCAAGCAGAUCUCUUGAAAGUUUUCGAAUUCAUUGAUGAAAACUUUUUUAGUGUUUAAUGCUCUAAUUGUUGGUAAAUUUUGAAGCGCUGCGUUAAUCUGAUACGGGUGAUUAAGUUUUUGGAAAUAAGAAGAUAAUCAAUUAAUGAGAGAACUUAAAUAUUAGCAUUACACUAAUCUACUUAUUUCUUUCAAUUGUUUAACUUUAUAAUUGAUAUAAAAAUCUAGAAGAAGCCAAUGAGUUUAUCCUUCCUAUUAUUAUUAUCGUUAUCAGUCCAAUACUAAGAAUUAUAAAAUAAGACAUGCUAUAUCAAGGACACCAGUAUUUUUGGAAAAUUUAAAAGAAGACUAAAAAUUUAUUGACGUUGAAAAAGAAUAUUCAAUAAAUUUACCUGUCUGAGAUACGACUGAGCAUAUAAUUCUAUGAAAUAUGCUGGCAUGCAGUUUUCUGGAAGCGUGUAAUCAAACUCUAUAGUAAGAAAACAUUUAUAAAAACCGUUGUUUUAAAGCUACAGACAUAAAUUAUUUUUAUGUAAUCCAACGAUCCUUUCCAUGCAAAUAGAGGUCAAAUUUAUGUUUCCUCGAUGUUGGCACUACUGAUAGCUAUUCGUAAAAAAACUAAGAGUAUAACCAUCAAUAGCAACAAAACACUCCUACUCGUCUUGAAAUAAAAGAUGUAAGGCUUAAUAGACCUAUGACUUUUACCAUAUCAACAAGUACCAAUGUUUUCGUAGAUGAUCCAUUUAUAUUUUUAAUUACCAUGCCUUUCAAAUCUUCGAUCUCCCCUCCAUAUGUGGAUUCUUCAUUCUUCUCGAGUUCCAUUUUCUCUAUCAUAAAUUUGAUGAAGUCAAUACUGGAAGCUUGGAGACUAUUAAAAUUCAGACUUUCGUACACCGCUCUAAACUAAGCCAUGCGAUCAUUUGACCUGUACACUAUAGAAACUGCAACUAAUGCGUUAAAAAUAAAGCUAAAAUUUUAGUUUUAUUUUUCAGAUAUCCGUAUAUGCAAUGCUUAAAAUUUCAAAUAGAUAUGAUGGAAGAAAAGAAGAAAUGUUGAAUGAUUCCAGAAAAGAUAGAAAGAUGAUACUAAAUUAACAGCAGACAGCAAUUAAAUAAAUCUAUCACAGAAUUGGAAAGCAUUAGAUGAGGCAUUGAUACAAGAUCUUCAAUUAACUGAUGAAUACUUGAUCCAUAUAUGUCAUGGAGCUUCGAACGAAUAUUAAGAAAUGGCGUUAUUCUGAAGGCUUACUAUACGUAAUUAAAAGUGACAACAUACAUCAGAAUUUAUAUGAACAAAUAGACAUAUGAUAUAUAACUUUAGUCUAAUUUGUUACACUAUGGAGUAUUUCUUUAUCGUAUUUAUUUCCUUCCUAAAAGAGUAAAGAAUAAUUGAUGUUGAAAUAUAAUUAAAAAAGAAUAUUUGAUUAAGUAGAUGGUUAAGUAUUUAUAUGUAAUAUUAUUUUAAAUACACUAUAGGACAUAUUGAUUUUUUAAAUAAUCAUAACCAUUGAUGAAAUGCUUACUUCCUGUUUUCCUUAUUUUCGCAGAAAAAGUAUUUCCCAGACGUUAAUUUCUACGAUCUGUACCUCAAUGAUUUGGUUGUUUAUUAAACGUAAUCUUUCGUCUGUUCCUUUGGUUGGUAACACUAUCAGCUUUGUUUUUUUCAUUCCAAAGUACUCUAAAAUGAUCGGAAAUUAAUUUGUUCAGUAUGAUCAUUUUCUAGAUUUCUGAAAAAGAAAUGUACUCAUCUUGAAAAGGAAAAAAAUUCCAAUCUAAUUCUCAAUAGAGAAUAUAGGCAAUAAUCAAGCAUUCUUUAUGGCUUAUAAAUUAUUUUAUUUAAUAAACUUAUUUGAUUAUUUCGAUAAUUUUGCGCGUAUAUCACUAUAUAUAAUUUAUAAUUAUAUAAUCUAUAAAUAAUAAAUUAUAAUGUAUGUUAUUUAUAUAGGAAGAAAUGAUUGGAGACGAAUGUAACAAUUUUCAACAAUUUAAUUUAUAACUGUUUAUUGUAGGAACUAUUUUAUAUAGGUUUAAAAGCAAUUAAAACAAAAGUAAGAUGUUAUAGUUAUUUUUGUCCAUUCAAUCUUUAAAUAAACUUUUAACCUAC